CUUGCGAUAGCUCAACGGAAGAGCAUCAGACCCUUAAUCUGAACGUUGCGGGUUCGAAUCCCGUUCGCUAGACCA
rnacentral:tRNA from 1 species